GCUCAGGUCGAAUCACAUUCGGGUCUACUCGGGCUGAGCGUGGAUAGUACUUGGAUGGGUGACCGCUUGGGAACACCACGUAACGUUGGCG
rnacentral:rRNA from 1 species